AAUACCUGGGUAUUUUACUUGUGAUAUCUUCAAUUAAUGAUUCUCAGUUUUUUAAAACAAUCUUAAUAAAAGUACGGUUGAUAUUUAAUAAAACGUUUACUUGAACGUCGGUCAGCAUAGGGUUUUUAUGUAAAAUAUACAAAUUUUAAAUGCUAAUAUUUUAAAAUUUAGUGCCGCAAGGACUAUUUAAAAAAAUUCCUGUGUAUAGAGGAUACUUAUGAGUAUAAGUACUCAAAAUUU